UACAGAGGUCUCAAGCGUUGUUCGGAUUCAUUGGGCGUAAAGGGUGCGUAGGCGGCGCGGUAAGUCGGGUGUGAAAUCUCGGAGCUUAACUCCGAAACUGCAUUCGAUACUGCCGUGCUUGAGGACUGGAGAGGAGACUGGAAUUUACGGUGUAGCGGUGAAAUGCGUAGAUAUCGUAAGGAAGACCAGUGGCGAAGGCGGGUCUCUGGACAGUUCCUGACGCUGAGGCACGAAAGCGUGGGGAGCGAACAGG
rnacentral:rRNA from 1 species